rnacentral:tRNA from 1 species
GUCGAUGCCCGAGCGGUUAAUGGGGACGGACUGUAAAUUCGUUGGUUAAAUAUGUCUACGCUGGUUCAAAUCCGGCUCGGCCCA